CAUGCAAGUCGAACGGCAGCGCGGGAGCAAUCCUGGCGGCGAGUGGCGAACGGGUGAGUAAUACAUCGGAACGUGCCCAAUCGUGGGGGAUAACGCAGCGAAAGCUGUGCUAAUACCGCAUAAGAUCUACGGAUGAAAGCAGGGGAUCGCAAGACCUUGCGCGAAUGGAGCGGCCGAUGGCAGAUUAGGUAGUUGGUGAGGUAAAGGCUCACCAAGCCUUCGAUCUGUAGCUGGUCUGAGAGGACGACCAGCCACACUGGGACUGAGACACGGCCCAGACUCCUACGGGAGGCAGCAGUGGGGAAUUUUGGACAAUGGGCGAAAGCCUGAUCCAGCCAUGCCGCGUGCAGGAUGAAGGCCUUCGGGUUGUAAACUGCUUUUGUACGGAACGAAACGGCCUUUUCUAAUAAAGAGGGCUAAUGACGGUACCGUAAGAAUAAGCACCGGCUAACUACGUGCCAGCAGCCGCGGUAAUACGUAGGGUGCAAGCGUUAAUCGGAAUUACUGGGCGUAAAGCGUGCGCAGGCGGUAAUGUAAGACAGUUGUGAAAUCCCCGGGCUCAACCUGGGAACUGCAUCUGUGACUGCAUUGCUGGAGUACGGUAGAGGGGGAUGGAAUUCCGCGUGUAGCAGUGAAAUGCGUAGAUAUGCGGAGGAACACCGAUGGCGAANGCAA
rnacentral:rRNA from 1 species